CGGCGAGUAGAGCGGCAAGAGCUCAGAUUUGGAAUCGUGUUUCGGCACGAGUUGUAAAUUGCAGGUUGGAGUCUUUGUGGAAGCGUGUGUCCAAGUCCCUUGGAACAGGGCGCCAUUGAGGGUGAGAGCCCCGUGGGAUGCGCGCGGAAGCAGCAAGGCCCUUCUGACGAGUCGAGUUGUUUGGGAAUGCAGCUCUAAGCGGGUGGUAAAUUCCAUCUAAGGCUAAAUACUGGCGAGAGACCGAUAGCGAACAAGUACUGUGAAGGAAAGAUGAAAAGCACUUUGAAAAGAGAGUGAAACAGCACGUGAAAUUGUUGAAAGGGAAGGGUAUUGGGCCCGACAUGGGGAUUGCGCAUCUCUGCUCCUUGUGGGCGGGGCGCUGUGCUUUUCCUGGGCCAGCAUCGGUUUUUGCCGCAGGAGAAGGGGUACUGGAAUGUGGCUCCUCGGAGUGUUAUAGCCAGUGCCAGAUGCUGCGUGCGGGGACCGAGGGCUGCGACAUCUGUCUCGGAUGCUGGCACAACGGCGCAAUACCGCCCG
rnacentral:rRNA from 1 species